AUGGGAUGGAGCUGGAUCACCCUCUUCCUGGUUACAGCAACUGCAGGGGUCCACUCCCACGUCCAGCUGCAGCAGUCUGGGGCUGAGGUGGCGAAGCCUGGAGCCUCAGUGAAGCUGUCCUGCAAGGCUUCACGCUAUACCUUCACCAGCCACUAUAUGAGUUGGGUGAAGCAGAAGCCUGGACAGGGCCUGGAGUGGAUUGGAUGGAUUGGUGGUGGAAGUGGUGAUACUGAUUAUAAUCAGAGGUUCCAGGGUAAGGCCACACUGACUAGAGACAAAUCCUCCAGCACAGCUUACAUGGAGCUCAAGAGCCAGACAUCUGACAAAGCUGCAGUCUAUUACUGUACAAGAAUCACAGUGUUACAACCAUAUCCUGAGUAUGUCAGAAACCAUGGAGGAGCAGGAAGCUGCCCUGGGACUCAGCUAACAGAGAAGAUAAACCUGGGGACUCCCUCAGAAAUAAUCAUUCUGAGUGUCCCAUUGUCUGUCACUUCCUGGUCCUAG